AGCUCCAAUAGCGUAUAUUAAAGUUGUUGCGGUUAAAAAGCUCGUAGUUGGAUUUCUGUCGAAGACAGCCGGUCCGCUCUAUGAGCGUGUAUCUGGUUCGGCUUUGGCAUCCUCGUGGGGAACGUAGCUGUGCUUCGUUGCAUGGUGCGGUAUUCACGACUUUUACCUUGAGGAAAUUAGAGUGUUCACGGCAGGCAAGCGCCAUGAAUACAUUAGCAUGGAAUAAUAUUAUAGGACUUCAGUUCUAUUUUGUUGGUUUCAGAACGGAAGUAAUGAUUAAUAGGGAUAGUUGGGGGCAUUUGUAUUAACGCGUCAGAGGUGGAAUUCUUGGAUUGCGUUACGACGAACUACUGCGAAAGCAUUUGCCAAGGAUGUUUUCA
rnacentral:rRNA from 1 species